AUUGAACGCUGGCGGAAUGCUUUACACGUGCAAGUCGAACGGCAGCACGGGUGCUUGCACCUGGUGGCGAGUGGCGAACGGGUGAGUAAUACAUCGGAACGUACCUUAUCGUGGGGGAUAACGCAGCGAAAGUUGCGCUAAUACCGCAUACGCCCUGAGGGGGAAAGCGGGGGACCGUAAGGCCUCGCGCGAUUAGAGCGGCCGAUGUCUGAUUAGCUUGUUGGUGAGGUAAAAGCUCACCAAGGCGAUGAUCGGUAGCUGGUCUGAGAGGACGAUCAGCCACACUGGGACUGAGACACGGCCCAGACUCCUACGGGAGGCAGCAGUGGGGAAUUUUGGACAAUGGGGGCAACCCUGAUCCAGCAAUGCCGCGUGAGUGAAGAAGGCCUUCGGGUUGUAAAGCUCUUUUGUCAGGGAAGAAACAGCAGCUCUAACACAGUCUGCGAAUGACGGUACCUGAAGAAUAAGCACCGGCUAACUACGUGCCAGCAGCCGCCGGUAA
rnacentral:rRNA from 1 species